UCAUGCACUAAAGUUAGAGCCACAAUCAAGAUAUGGUGCCUAUCCUCCAGUAGCUCAUACUUGAAAUGGCGACUGAAGUUGUCCAGAAAAGAUUCCAUUGGGCAAGCUCUAAUCUGAGCCUUGUAAAGUGGUACACUUUGGAUGUGCAGAGUCUUGUUCUAUCACCAAGGCUGGAGUACAGUAGCACAAUCUCAGCUAACUGCAACCUCCAUUUCCCAGCUCAGCCUCCGAAGAGGCUAGGACUACAGAGAUGCCUACCAGGCAAGGCUUCAGUGGUUCAGGACAUUUCAGGCAAAGAAGAGGCUGGAGCCAGACGGCAGUCAUCUUUGGGGAAGAUGGGGAACUACAGGGCUCGCUCGUAAGGCAGCUAUCCAAUAUAAAGUACCCAAUGGAGCCUGCCAAAGAGAGGCUUAAUUCAGGCAGUCACCUGACAGUGCUGGAAGAAGCCAUUACAGAGUAAAGUGAACUAGUCCCUCCCAGGUAGCCUCCCUGCUCUAACCUCAUCACUCCAGCAGAUAAUUUGCCUUCCAAUCUAACCACGAAGAUUUAAGCCAACCAACAUGAGCUCUCACACUUUUUUCAGCACAAUUCUAUUAUUACUUACUUUGUACCAAACCUUGCCCUAAUUAUACAAAGAUAAAUAAUGCCUGUCCUCAAAGAACUUCAAGUUUGAUUUAGAAAUGGGCAUGUUAAUAAUUACUACAUUACUAAUAAAUACCACAUUGCAGUA